ensembl:lncRNA
AUGGAACGGAUGGAAGUGGACCAGUGCGCAGGCGCAGCUGGCGGGGCAGGAGGCGGGGCACUCCGCAGAUCGAACAGCGCCCCCAUGAUCACCAGCGUCAGUGACGGGAUGACGGUCUUCAGUCCGGUGUCGUCGGCUCGAUACCGGCGCAGCAGCGUGUCCAUCAACCCCAGCUGUCCCUCACAGCUGCUGCCGCUCUCGCCGUUCUCACUGACCGCAGACAGACUCGACCAGAAGAGGCAGGAGGAGAACAUGGAGAUGACGCUCCGAGGGAGUCUGCAGAGACUGAGUGCUUCCAGUCUGAUCCCAGUUCCUCCAGUCAGUCAGUGGCACGACCACGCAGCAGUGUGGUUCCAGGCACAGGACAGCGGUGUCACACCCAACUCGUCCCCGAGUCCCACCAGGAGGUUCAGACCGGCCGUCAGCGCCACCGUCAGAUGGCCGGCGUUAACGCCCCUCAAGAGGAAAGGAGGGGUGGAGUCUGACGGACCCCCAAAGAAGCUUUUUGUUGCCGGGGUAACAGAUCCUGCCAACCGCAGCAGCUACACAGUCAGUGUCUCUCAGUCGGCGGCGGACUCUCCACCAGCAGGAGGCGUCAGUCCUCAGUCCAGCCCUCUGUCUCUCUCUCCUCCCCCCUCCUUCACCCCCUUCACCUCCCACCAGCACCCUGGACACUAAAAC